rnacentral:rRNA from 1 species
CCCUUAGAUGUCCUGGGCCGCACGCGUGCUACACUGAUGCAUACAGCGAGUACUCCCAGCUCCGAGAGGCUGCUGGUAAUCAGCAAUAUGCAUCGUGAUGGGGGUAGAUCUUUGGAAUUAUAGAUCUUGAACGAGGAAUUCCUAGUAAUCGCAGGUCAUCACCCUGCGUUGACUAAGUCCCUGCCCUUUGUACACACCGCCCGUCGCUCCUACCGAUUUCGAGUGAUCCGGUGAAUCAUUCGGACCGCGGCCCCUAGGCAUGCGGAAAGUCUAGUAAACCAUAUCACUUAGAGGAAGGAGAAGUCGUAACA